ACGAGUUUGAUCAUGGCUCAGAUUGAACGCUGGCGGCAUGCUUUACACAUGCAAGUCGAACGGUAACAGGCCUUCGGGUGCUGACGAGUGGCGAACGGGUGAGUAAUGCAUCGGAACGUGCCCAAUCGGUGGGGGAUAACGUAGCGAAAGUUACGCUAAUACCGCAUAAGCCCUGAGGGGGAAAGUGGGGGACCGCAAGGCCUCACGCGAAUGGAGCGGCCGAUGUCAGAUUAGCUAGUUGGUGGGGUAAAGGCCCACCAAGGCGACGAUCUGUAGCGGGUCUGAGAGGAUGAUCCGCCACACUGGGACUGAGACACGGCCCAGACUCCUACGGGAGGCAGCAGUGGGGAAUUUUGGACAAUGGGCGCAAGCCUGAUCCAGCCAUGCCGCGUGCGGGACGAAGGCCUUCGGGUUGUAAACCGCUUUCAGCCGGAAAGAAAUCGCCGUUUUUAAUACAGACGGUGGAUGACGGUACCGGAAGAAGAAGCACCGGCUAACUACGUG
rnacentral:rRNA from 1 species